rnacentral:rRNA from 1 species
AGAGUUUGAUCUUGGCUCAGAACGAACGCUGGCGGCACGCUUAAUACAUGCAAGUCGAACGGUAACAGCUUUGAAGCAAUUCAAAGGCUGACGAGUGGCGCACGGGUGAGUAACACGUAGGUGACCUGUCCUAUAGUAAAGAAUAACAAUGAGAAAUUAUUGCUAAUACUUUAUAAGUCCAUGAUUCUUGAAUAUUUUAUGGAGAAAGAUUUAUCGCUAUUGGAGGGGCUUGCGGGGUAUUAGCUAGUUGGUGAGGUAAUGGCUCACCAAGGCUACGAUACCUAACCGGUCUGAGAGGAUGAUCGGUCACACUGGGACUGAGACACGGCCCAGACUCCUACGGGAGGCAGCAGUAGGGAAUAUUGCGCAAUGGAGGAAACUCUGACGCAGCGAUGCCGCGUGAGUGAGGAAGGUCUUCGGAUUGUAAAGCUCUGUCGUUAGGGAAAAAUUUUGAUGGUACCUAACAAGAAAGCACCGGCUAACUUCGUGCCAGCAGCCGCGGUAAUACGAAGGGUGCAAGCGUUGUUCGGAUUUACUGGGCGUAAAGAGCGAGCAGGCGGUUAGAUAAGUUAGAUGUGAAAGCCCUGGGCUUAACCCAGGAAUUGCGUUUAAAACUGUCUAGCUAGAAUAAAAGAGAGGAAAGGGGAAUUUCACAUGUAGGGGUAAUAUCCGUAGAUAUGUGAAGGAACACCGGAGGCGAAGGCGCCUUUCUGGCUUUUUAUUGACGCUGAGUCGCGAAAGCGUGGGGAGCAAACAGGAUUAGAUACCCUGGUAGUCCACGCUGUAAACGAUGAAUACUAGUCAUUGGUCUUUUAGAUCAGUGACGAAGCUAACGCGAUAAGUAUUCCGCCUGGGAAGUACGGUCGCAAGACUAAAACUCAAAGGAAUUGACGGGGGCCCGCACAAGCGGUGGAUUAUGUGGUUUAAUUCGAAGGUACACGCAGAACCUUACCUAGGUUUGAAAUCCUUCUAAGUCGGGGUAAUGCCUGAUGUGCCCGCAAGGGAAAGAAGUGACAGGUGCUGCAUGGCUGUCGUCAGCUCGUGUUGUGAAAUGUUGGGUUAAGUCUCGCAACGAGCGCAACCCCUAUUUUUAGUUACCAUCAUUAAGUUGGGGACUCUAGAAAUACUGCCUGGGUUAACCAGGAGGAAGGUGGGGAUGACGUCAAGUCCUCAUGGCCCUUAUGUCUAGGGCUACACACGUAAUACAAUGGUUGAGUAUGAAGAGAUGCAAAACAGCGAUGUAGAGCAAACCUCAAAAAAUCAAUCUCAGUCCGGAUUGGAGUCUGCAAUUCGACUCCAUGAAGUUGGAAUCGCUAGUAAUCGCGAAUUAGAGGGUCGCGGUGAAUACGUUCUCGGGCCUUGUACACACCGCCCGUCACACCAUGGAAGUUGAAUCUAUCUGAAGGCGUGACCUUAACCCGCAAGGGAGAGGAGCGACUACGGUAGGUUCGAUGACUGGGGUGAAGUCGUAACAAGGUAGCCGUAGA